rnacentral:rRNA from 1 species
GACGAACGCUGGCGGCGUGCUUAACACACGCAAGUCGAACGGAAAGGCCCUGCUUUUGUGGGGUGCUCGAGUGGCGAACGGGUGAGUAACACGUGAGUAACCUGCCCUUGACUUUGGGAUAACUUCAGGAAACUGGGGCUAAUACCGGAUAGGAGCUCCUGCUGCAUGGUGGGGGUUGGAAAGUUUCGGCGGUUGGGGAUGGACUCGCGGCUUAUCAGCUUGUUGGUGGGGUAGUGGCUUACCAAGGCUUUGACGGGUAGCCGGCCUGAGAGGGUGACCGGCCACAAUGGGACUGAGAGACGGCCCAGACGCCUACGGGGGGCAACCGGGGGGAAUAUUGCCCAAUGGGGCGGAGCCUGAUGCCGCAACCCCCCGUGCGGGAAGACCGCCUUUGGGUUGUAAACCGCUUUCGGCUGUGACGAAGCGUGAGUGACGGUAAUGGGUAAAGAAGCACCGGCUAACUACGUG